GAUGAACGCUAGCGGCAGGCCUAAUACAUGCAAGUCGAACGGUGUCUUCGGACAUAGUGGCGCACGGGUGCGUAACACGUAUGCAACCUACCUUACAUUGGGGGAUAGCCUUUCGAAAGGGAGAUUAAUACCGCAUAAGACAGUAGCUGGGCAUCCAGCAGCUGUUAAAGAUUUAUCGAUGUAAGCUGGGCAUGCGUCCAAUUAGCUAGUUGGUGAGGUAACGGCUCACCAAGGCAAUGAUUGGUAGGGAACUGAGAGGUCAAUCCCCCACACUGGCACUGAGAUACGGGCCAGACUCCUACGGGAGGCAGCAGUAGGGAAUAUUGGGCAAUGGACGCAAGUCUGACCCAGCCAUGCCGCGUGCAGGGUGAAGGCGUUAUGCGUUGUAAACUGCUUUUAUACAGGAAGAGACGACUCUUGCGAGAGGCAUUGACGGUACUGUAUGAAUAAGCACCGGCUAACUCCGUGCCAGCCGCCGCGGUAAUAC
rnacentral:rRNA from 1 species